rnacentral:rRNA from 1 species
GAUGAACGCUGGCGGCGUGCUUAACACAUGCAAGUCGAACGAGAAAUGUAGACGGACACCUUCGGGCGGAAGCCUUCAUUUCGAGUGGCGGACGGGUGAGUAACGCGUGGGUAACCUGCCUCAUACAGGGGGAUAACAGUUGGAAACGACUGUUAAUACCGCAUAAGACCACAGCAUCGCAUGAUGCGGGGGUAAAAACUCCGGUGGUAUGAGAUGGACCCGCGUUCGAUUAGCCAGUUGGCGGGGUAACGGCCCACCAAAGCGACGAUCGAUAGCCGAUCUGAGAGGAUGACCGGCCACAUUGGGACUGAGACACGGCCCACACUCCUACGGGAGGCAGCAGUGGGGAAUAUUGCACAAUGGGGGAAACCCUGAUGCAGCGACGCCGCGUGAGUGAAGAAGUACUUCGGUAUGUAAAGCUCUAUCAGCAGGGAAGAAAAUGACGGUACCUGAGUAAGAAGCCCCGGCUAACUACGUG